rnacentral:rRNA from 1 species
ACGCACGCUGGCGGCGUGCUUAACACAUGCAAGUCGAACGGAAAGGCCCUGCUUUUGUGGGGUGCUCGAGUGGCGAACGGGUGAGUAACACGUGAGUAACCUGCCCUUGACUUUGGGAUAACUUCAGGAAACUGGGGCUAAUACCGGAUAGGAGCUCCUGCUGCAUGGCGGGGGUUGGAAAGUUUCGGCGGUUGGGGAUGGACUCGCGGCUUAUCAGCUUGUUGGUGGGGUAGUGGCUUACCAAGGCUUUGACGGGUAGCCGGCCUGAGAGGGUGACCGGCCACAUUGGGACUGAGAUACGGCCCAGACUCCUACGGGAGGCAGCAGUGGGGAAUAUUGCACAAUGGGCGGAAGCCUGAUGCAGCAACGCCGCGUGCGGGAUGACGGCCUUCGGGUUGUAAACCGCUUUCGCCUGUGACGAAGCGUGAGUGACGGUAAUGGGUAAAGAAGCACCGGCUAACUACGUG